rnacentral:rRNA from 1 species
GACGAACGCUGGCGGCGUGCUUAACACAUGCAAGUCGAACGAAGAGAGAUGGAAGCUUGCUUCUAUCAAUCUUAGUGGCGAACGGGUGAGUAACGCGUAAUCAACCUGCCCUUCAGAGGGGGACAACAGUUGGAAACGACUGCUAAUACCGCAUACGAUCCAAUCUCGGCAUCGAGAGUGGAUGAAAGGUGGCCUCUAUUAAUAAGCUAUCACUGAAGGAGGGGAUUGCGUCUGAUUAGCUAGUUGGAGGGGUAACGGCCCACCAAGGCGAUGAUCAGUAGCCGGUCUGAGAGGAUGAACGGCCACAUUGGGACUGAGACACGGCCCAGACUCCUACGGGAGGCAGCAGUGGGGAAUCUUCCGCAAUGGACGAAAGUCUGACGGAGCAACGCCGCGUGAGUGAUGACGGCCUUCGGGUUGUAAAGCUCUGUUAAUCGGGACGAAUGGUUCUUGUGCGAAUAGUGCG